rnacentral:misc_RNA from 1 species
AUAUCAAACACUCUUUAAAAUACUAAAUACAACAAUAAAAAAAUAAAAAUCCUUCUCAAAAAACUUACAUCCUAAUUAUAAAAAAAACAAAAAAUACAAAUAAUAACAAAAUAUAUACGCAUACACAUAUAUGCACACAAUAACAUACUAAAAAAUACUAUAAAAAAACACAAAACAAAUAUAUUUUAAAUAAAAUAAUUAAAAAAUAAAUAAUCA